rnacentral:rRNA from 1 species
UGGGGAAUAUUGCACAAUGGGCGAAAGCCUGAUGCAGCAACGCCGCGUGAGUGAUGAAGGCCUUCGGGUUGUAAAGCUCUGUCUUCUGGGACGAUAAUGACGGUACCAGAGGAGGAAGCCACGGCUAACUACGUGCCAGCAGCCGCGGUAAUACGUAGGGGGCGAGCGUUAUUCGGAAUUACUGGGUGUAAAGGGUAUGUAGGCGGCCCUUCAAGUCGCGUGUCAAAGUCCAGUGCUCAACGCUGGGUGUGCGCGCGAUACUGACGGGCUUGAGGGCUGGAGAGGUGAGCGGAAUUCCCGGUGUAGUGGUAAAAUACGUAGAGAUCGGGAGGAACACCAGCGGCGCAGGCGGCUCACUAGACAGUUUCUGACGCUAAGAUACGAAAGCGUGGGGAGCAAACA